UACGGGGGGGGUAAGCGUUGUUCGGAAUUACUGGGCGUAAAGGGCUCGUAGGCGGCCAACUAAGUCAGACGUGAAAUCCCUCAGCUUAACUGGGGAACUGCGUCUGAGACUGGCGAGCUUGAGGGCAGGAGAGGAACGCGGAAUUCCAGGUGUAGCGGUGAAAUGCGUAGAUAUCUGGAGGAACACCGGUGGCGAAGGCGGCAUCCUGGACCAACACUGACGCUGAGUGAGCGAAAGCCAGGGGAGCAAACGGG
rnacentral:rRNA from 1 species